ACAAACAUAUUAUUUUUCAUUAGUGCACUAAAAAAGGAUCAGACUUUACAUUGGAACGUAAAGAACCACUCUGAUGGAAAUAAGGUUUUGGGUGUUUUUAAAGUGUUCUUGUGGCGUUUUUCUGGUGAUGGAGACCCAAUAUUAGUAAAAAAUAAGCUUAAAAUUAGAUUUUUUUAAAAUACUUCUUUAAUCAUAUCACUGUAAAAAGGGAGCUGACAAAAAUGCAGUUUGAAAAAGAGUUUAUUUGUGAUGUAGAAAACACGCUGCAGGCCACAAGCUCCCUGCUCUGAGCUGACAGGAAGGAGAAGGGGGCGGGGUUGCUCUGCACCAAAAGUCCCGCCCACAACGCAGAGGCAGAUUUCGAAUGAAUUACUGCCGCUCUGCAGGAGCCAUGUCCUAGAAAAUGGCACACAUUUUUUCUUUAUUAAAUCCUUACUUAUUUUUUCAUUAUUUAUCUUUCAGUCCACCUUUCUUCAUCCUGAUUGGCUGUAGACUCCGUUAAUCAAUCUCCACCGUGCCUCCUGAGCAGAACCCAUGCAAUUUGCCAAAUUUACAUAAAUCGCAAUCAGAUCUUUGUUUUCAUUCUACAAUACUAUACCUAUUUUUCCAUGAAAGUCUGAAUUUUGAGAGUUUAAACAAGAAGGAAAAGUGUGAAAGUGUUCAUGUCUGUUUGACAAAAGGUCUGUAGCCUGUAGUGAUGAGUUCUACAGCCUAAAAACAUCUGGACUUGUUGUCAAAAUUGCACUUAUCACAGGUACUUUUUAGCACGUAAUUCUUGCGAUAAAUAAGGAGCCACUGUACCCUAAAAAAUAAAAUCUUAGGUUCAAUCUGGAUUGUUUUCUUUUUUCUUGUCCAAAAUGCAUUGCAACGAAUCUUUACUCUACAUUUGAAAAGACUAAUACUAACACUGAGUGAUUGCACAAAAAACCUAACAAAAGUGGUGGUUAGAUUUGUUCGGAUUUUUUUUUUCCUUUUGGCUGCCCUCUUCAUAGGUUACCGCAGCAAAUCCCACAUUAUUUGGCUUCAUUUUUACAGCAGGAGCCCUUUGUGGCCCACUCUUCAUGCAUUUACUCAGACUUUGAACAUGGAAAGCACUGGAGAAUGUAGUAACUUUCCCCACCAAGUGGCAACAGCCCAGGCAGUCUCAGACUCAUAGUGUUAAUCUGAGUUUUCAAAAAAAAAAAAAGUUUUGAAGGUUUUUUCAGGACUAUUUGCACUUCUCCAGAAAUCCUCUCGGAAAUGUGAUUGCAAAACUGCGUAGGUCAAUAUUUCUGAAUGAGCUCAUCAGCAGAAGCCUUGUCGCCGCACGCCGCUUCCCCGGUGGCUCGUCCUCGUUAUCACUGACCCUCUCAGCCAAAUUACCCGCCUUCCUCCCCUCCCCUCCCUCUCAGGGUCCUCUCAUCCUCAGAUGCUGCCACCGCUCAAUCAGGCGGGAUACGGGCACGUAACCAUAGUGACCGCAGCCUGCGAAAGAGAAAUGCUAAUGCGGGGGACUUUUGAAGGACAAUGGAUGCAGAAGUGAUCCUCAGGAAGAAAGAUCUACGGGGGCGGAUGAAGCAGUUUGAGUGUCAAGGACUCGUAGGAGAUGUCCUCACAGACAAACCUUGGUGAAUGUGGAAGCCUGUUCUUCCAUCAGACAGCAGCUCGGUGGGCUUUUCUGUGUCUGGAGGCAGCUGCUGAGGAAACUCUCCUUGGCAACCAGUCGUCAUGGAAAGAAUCAAGUCUGCGCUGUGAUUGGUGCCUGAAGGCGACAGAACACCCAGAAAAAGCUGCACAUGCAUGAGAAGGACAGGCAAACUCCACCCUGAAAUGGUUGGACUUGACUUCCAUGUGAGCUUCUUUACAGUGGUACUUCGAGCAGCAGCGAUAGUCGCCUUUCGAGGAGCUUUCUUCUCAACGUUGGUGGUUUGACAAUAAAAGGAUGCUGCACCUGGAGAGUGCAUACAGUCGGUAAUGGAUCAGGGAUCAGGUAAAAAUAACUGGGGAUGCAGAGUGAGGGGGGCAGACACAUGAUUCCAUCCCCCUGAAGCUGCCAGGCCUGUGGUUUCAUCUGAACCUUUGCUGCUCUGUGAGAUGAGCGGAUACAGAUUUUUUUUUCCCUGGAAAACAACGCUUUGAACUCAGGUUUGCCUUUCUCUGAAAGACACAGCCGUGCUUCAGAUUGAGUUCAGAUGUGUAGUGCAGUUGGCAGCUCUUGCUCUGUUAUUCAAUCCAGAAGUGAUGAAUAACGGCUAUAAGUGUUUUAUGACAAGCAAAAGAGGUGGACUGAGGCAUUCUUUACCGUUUUUCUCCAUUGAAUUGGCUCAUUUCUUAAACCUGAAAUGACAUUCUCAAAACUAAAUGGACAAAUCUCCAAACUAACUUGUACUUGUUCACAACAGAAAGUAAUUUCUCAUUGCUUUCAUCCAUUUAAAUUGUCUUAAUCUAAGUCUCAAGUGUGUCGGGGGUUUUGUACAAGUAGUAUAGAGUUAGCCCAAUGAACCCAUGUAUGGCACAUUCUAUAAUUACUUAGAUCUUGUUGAUCUAAACUGAAUAGCCAAUUAUCAGUCUAAUGACCAUUCUUUUCAAAACAUGUCAGCAAGGAUUCAGUGUGGGAGCCGUCAUAUGCACAAUCAUUUUUUUCAAUUUUCAAAAUUAGUCCAGAAAAUUGUAUGAACAACAAACAUGCAUUUCUUGUUAAGUUUAAGACAAUUAUUGACGCUCAGGUGAAAUGAAAACUUCACUGAUGAAUGAAGAGUUUUCCAGUCAGCCGGUUAGUUCUGUUACCUCUAUGAUGGUGAAUCCUGCCAAACAUAUAAAAAUGGGCCAGGGCCAUUCGUAGUAUGAGCAUGGAUGUACCUCACCAACAAAAUGAGCACAGUCAACAUCCUGCUGGAAGAAGGAGAAGAUGAGCAGCAGAAGAGGAGCAGGAGGAGUGAGGAUGUGUUGUGGUGGAAUAAGAGGUCUCUGCUUCAAGUGAUGGAUGUUGCAUGUGAGAACAUCGCAGGGGAUCAGGAUGGUGGGGCAUUUACGUCUUUUCUUCCUUCGCUGCAUUGGAAGGAAAAUAUCCACUGCCAUGUAGAUAAAAAAUCUCUGGCCAAAUAGAGAGGAGCGAGUGGCUGGACAGAAGCAUGAAGACUUGGCCAAUCAGGAGUGAGCUUAUUGGAAGUCAACACCCAUAGCACUUGAAAAAUCUGGCAAUCAAAGGUUUUUCAACCCUGGACGAAGGGGACGCCUACUUUUAUUGAGCAUCUGAUUCAUCAGAUUAUAACUUGAACAAUUUGAACAUUAAAAAAAAAGGUAUCGGAGCAAGAAUGGUUAUUCUG